AGUUCUGUUUCAUAGCCAAGGAUGACUUGCCCGAUCCAUGUUGAGUGAGUGGUAUCGGUCAUUUUCUUUUUGUGAUUACAAUAUUAAUUUGGUUCCGGGCAGUCACUUUGGCUAAGCUGUAAUACCCA
rfam:Citrus clementina cultivar Clemenules unplaced genomic scaffold scaffold_8, whole genome shotgun sequence.